rnacentral:lncRNA from 1 species
UGUCCUAGAGAGAAGGCAGAGAUUAGUUAGGAGUCAAUAAUAGGGUCCCAAUUCCAAGAUUUCUAUUUGAAGAACAAGAUUGUAUUCCAAAAGAAGGUAUUGAGAGCCCCAUGCCCGAGCCCCAUCACAAGUACUUGUGGUUCCCGCAACACAAAAACUAAUCCCUUGCCCUCUCUCAUGACUCACUCACAUUGCAUUAUUCGCAAACUCAUCCCCAAUCCCCUCAACAAGAAAUCCCCAAUCUUCUACCAAGCAGCAAAGGCGACCCACACCUUUAAUUUCAUCAGACAACACAAGGUACGUGCAUAUAUAUAUUAUUAUUAUCUAAAGGUCCGAAACAAGCCGGUUCCGCGUUCUUGAUUUCGGGUACCGGAACCAAUCGCCCCCACACAAGCCACCAAGAAGAAGAGGAGGAGGUAGAGUUCGCGCGAAGAGACCAACGACUGACCUCCGCGCCGGCUGUUCCCCUGCUAGCGGAUCCGCUCGUUCUCCGCCUGCGCCCGUCCUCAGUAGUAGCUUCGAUGGGAGUAGAACGACGAAAGAAGAAGAAGUUACGCGGGCAGGUGGCUGGAUUCUUCACUUGCUGGCGGUCAUCGUCGCCUGUUUCCAUUAAAUGGUGGAGAGAUAUAAUACGUAUAUUUUAUUUGGUCCCGGCGCAAAUAUCCAACCAAUAAUAAAGAUUAUUAUGUGACUUACAAGCAUGCGAUUGCCGUCCUGCUUUUUUUUUUUUUGCGCUUUUCUCUCGGAGAGUUUCUAUUAUUCAGUGCCUCUGGAUCUGCAGCUUGACCGAUAAAACCUCCCUUUCAAGCAAAGGUGCCUACCAGCUAAUCCUCCUCCUGCCCCAACUGUUGUUGGCUUCUUCCUAGUUUAUUUAUUUCUCUGCAUACCACCAUUAUUCUGUUAUUAUAUAGUAUAAUAAAGUAAACUUAUCGUACUCGUCUUUUUUUUUCAACUAACCAAUCGUGGAGGAAAACCAAAGUAGCGGGAUACCGGAUUGAGAGCUGAUUCUUGCAUUGCAGUUGCAGCCCCAACGUCCGAAGAAAUUUCCGGUGUAUACAGCACAGCACAGCAUGGCAUUGACCGCGUGCGAGAGGCCGUCCGUCCAGUUCCAAUCCAACGAACGCUUCCAGGAGGUUGCGUCUGCCGCCGGUCACUUGUCGACCACUCGACCUUCAGCUCCGCUUCGAUGAAGAAAAAAAAUGAAACCCCGUGCGAACUGGGAUAGGGCGAGAAGGGAUUUCAUUUCCAUUCCACCUCGUUUUAGCAUGGUCGGUCAAGAUCGGUGGCCAUGGCGUGGGCUCCGUCCGUGUUGGAUGGGGGCGACCGGCGCGGCGACGUCAUCGCCGGCGUCACGUUUUAGUGGCGGCGUGGGGACAGAAC